GAUGAAGAACGCAGCGAAAUGCGAUACGUAGUGUGAAUUGCAGAAUUCAGUGAAUCAUCGAAUCUUUGAACGCACCUUGCGCUCUUUGGUAUUCCGAAGAGCAUGCCUGUUUGAGUGUCAUGAAAAUAUCAACCUUGACUUGGGUUUUGUGCUCUAGUCUCGGCUUGGAAUUGGGUGCUUGCCGCUUUUACGAGCGGCUCACCUUAAAUGUAUUAGCUGGAUCUGUCUUUGAGACUUGGUUUGACUUGGCGUAAUAAGUAUUUCGCUAAGGACAUUCUUCGGAGUGGCCUCGUUUCUAGGACGCUUGUCCGCUUUCCAAUACAAGUUCCACCUCGUGGACAUGACUUUUUAUUAUCUGGCCUCAAAUCAGGUAGGACUACCCGCUGAACUUAAGCAUAUCAAUAAGCGGAGGA
rnacentral:misc_RNA from 1 species